GAUCAGACAAAUUAGGAGAUAGGUAUCUGGAACUUGUACCCAUCAUUGGAUGAGGGAUACUGACGGGGCCAGAUCCAGAACGCAAACGAGUCUGCCCAGGAUUCGCACCUGAAAGAUAUGUUGGUGGCGAUGGAGAUGGAGAUGGUGAAAAUGGAGGUGAAAGCUGGUAUUCAUCAAAGCUCGUUGCUUUGUGGUGAAUGGGCAGUCUAUUGUUAGGUGAAACCCUGUGUCCAUGUACAUCACUGGGUGAAGAUGAAAGCUCAUGCGGUGGCCGGUACAGAGGUGGAGAUCCUACAUAUGGCUGUGUCCGAGGUAAAGAAGGUGACGUGAGG
rnacentral:misc_RNA from 1 species